UACGUAUGGGGCAAGCGUUAUCCGGAAUUAUUGGGCGUAAAGAGUGCGUAGGUGGUUACCUAAGCGCAAGGUUUAAUCUUGAGGCUCAACCUCAUUCUGCCUUGCGAACUGGGCUACUUGAGUGCUGGAGGGGAAAGCGGAAUUCCCAGUGUAGCGGUGAAAUGCGUAGAUAUUGGGAAGAACACCGGUGGCGAAGGCGGCUUUCUGGACAGUAACUGACACUGAGGCACGAAAGCGUGGGGAGCAAACAGGAUUAGAUACCCUGGUAGUCCCU
rnacentral:rRNA from 1 species